AACAACACAUGACCUCACUGUUGUGGGCCACAUUACUGCGCAAGUGCAUCACUGCACGGGUAGUCUAAACAGAACAGUGAAUGUUUGUUGGCUAGUGAAGAAUUUGAAGUCCUGUAAAAUAAGUAAUCAAAAUAAGAAAUAAUUUAAGACAUUUCGCCCAUGUUUUAUUUCUGUAAAUUGAGCAGAGACUGAUAAAUCAAUCGCGGAGCUGUGGGGAUAAAGGUGGGAAGAUGUCAUAUCACUCGUCUUCUCACAGCUCUUCGCCUAACACCGAUUGCAAGGUCUAUGUUGGGGACUUCGUCAACGGUGCUGCUAAGUCUGAGCUAGAGCGGGCGUUCAGUUACUAUGGCCCUUUACGCAGCGUUUGGGUGGCCAGGCCCGCAUGUUUCGCCUUUGUGGAGUAUGAGGAUACCCGUGACGCAGAGGACGCAGUUAGAGGCAUGGAUGGGAAGGUGCUGUGCGGCUCUCGGAUCCAUGUGGAGCUGUCCACUGGCAUGUCACGGAAGACCAAACAUGACCUCCCCAGCCGUCAGCACUUUGACUCUCAAGACUGCUGCUACCAUUGUGGGGACAGGGGCCACUAUGCCUACGACUGCUACCGUUUCAGCAGGAGGGGUGGAGGUAGUCGGAGCAGAUCACGGUCUCGUUCCGAAUCCAGGUCACGUGUCAGCCGUUAUCGAUCCCGUUCCCGCAGCAAUGACCGCAGCAGGCACCGCUCCCCAUCUUAUCCCAAACAUCGGAAGAGGUCCGGCUCCCCUGUGUGGUCCAGGACAUCUGUUCGGAGUCGUUCUCGGUCAGGGUCCCGGGCCAGAGGGCGCUCGGCGUCCCGCUUUCUCUCUAGAUCCCGCUCUCUCUCCAGAUCCCGCUCUCCCAGCCAUAAGAGGAAUAGGUUAGCUCUCUGCCUCGUCAACCCAUACCUUCACAGCUGCUCCUGUACUGUGUAAAUGCCAUGACUUAAAAUGAUCGUCUUUGCCUUGUAGCCCAUAUUGUACAAUACUGCUAAUUAUACUUAAUUUGGAUGAUUUGAAAUAUUGUUUUGCAAAUGUGCUGGAAGCCCCCCUCCCUCUUUUAAUCACAUUUUUCAGAGAUGACACUCAUUCACUCAGCUUAAGUUUAGGCAUAUUGCUAUCUGUUAAACAGGGCUAGGUGUGAUCAGGUAAGUCGUGGGUAGCUGCCCCCUCAGACCAGCCUCCACCCGAAGUCUGCGGAGUCGACCUUCCAGAACGCACAGAGCGACAACUCAUCAGAGAGAUGGCUGCUGCUGGAGAUGGGGAGGGGAAAGAAAUAGUCAGGGACUCUAACACACCCCAAGCUAGAGUGAGGAACACCGCCCCACCCCCCCCCUUUUAUCUUUUCCAAAUACCUGAUUUUAAUGUUCUUUUCUCUUGGAGGUCCCUCUCCUAGAAUGACCAGGCCAGACCUUGAUUAGCUUCAGAGAGUUGCACACUAUACUCUGAGAAACAGAGGCUGUUUGGGUGACUGCUGGGGGAGCGGGGCUCUUCUCUUUUCUCUUCUCCCUCAGAUCCAGCCUCAAUUUGAUUAGCUUCAGAGGGCGAGAGAACCUCAAAAACCCAAAAUAGAAAUCUGUCGUGAUCAGACUCCAGUGACCAAUCGCAUCAGGCCUUUUUUUAAAGAGUGUGGGGAGUCGACUGACUGCAGGAGCACUGACCAGGGUCAUCCUUGCUGUGUUAAAGUCCUCCCUGAGGGUGAAAAGGGCUGACCAGAAAUCAGCUUGCGCCGCGCUGGUUAAAGAGGUCGCCUGAUGAAAGUUCUGACGAGACACAUCAUCCUACGCGCGUACACACAGUUGUUCCACCCACCACACUCCCUCCCAGAACCCACGCACAACAGACUUGAACGCUGAGCCAAGUUCAGUCGACAAGUUAAGGCCCCUUCCCUACCGAGCCCGGCCUCUUGCUUAGCUUCUGAGAGGGUGAGAAAGGAGAGCUGACAAGAGAUCAGACUUCAAGACCCUUCGAGUUCUAGAAUCCAUCGCUACUCUGUACAUGUUGUUUCUGCCACUGUCUCCAAAGUCGUUCCAGAUCUCCAAGCCAGAAAAAGAGCCCCACCCCAGGGGAAGAUUGAUUUGAAGACUAAACUCGUCCCCAUCCCCCUCCAACCAACUGGCUUUAGCCUUGCAGCUAUUUGUUUUGUCUUUGUUCCCUGCAUUGAUUAGAAUCUAGCCCUACCUUUCUGAUGCUGUAUAAUUACACUACAGGAUUAGUUUCAUAUCUAACCAUGCAUCCCUUACAUGAUGUCACAUUCCUAAAAUGGCUAUUGUGUGUCAAAACAGUUCAAAUAGCUAAUUUCAGAAGUGGGAUUUGUGAACCAGAACUUUAUUUCCUAUCUACUUUAAAUGUUGCUUUCCCUUUUGUAUGACACUGGCAGAUUUUGGAAUAAAUCGACACAUUAA